rnacentral:rRNA from 1 species
CGACUACAGUCAGAGUUUGAUCCUGGCUCAGGAUGAACGCUAGCGAUAGGCUUAACACAUGCAAGUCGAGGGGUAACAUGGGAGUAGCUUGCUACUUCUGAUGACGACCGGCGGAUGGGUGAGUAACACGUAUCCAACCUUCCGGUUACUCGGGGAUAGGCUUUCGAAAGAAAGAUUAAUACCCGAUGUUGCGUAUCUUUCUCCUGAAAGAUACGCCAAAGGAUUCCGGUAACCGAUGGGGAUGCGUUCCAUUAGGCAGUUGGCGGGGUAACGGCCCACCAAACCUUCGAUGGAUAGGGGUUCUGAGAGGAAGGUCCCCCACAUUGGAACUGAGACACGGUCCAA